rnacentral:tRNA from 1 species
GGGCCUAUAGCUCAGUUGGUUAGAGCAUCUGACUCAUAAUCAGAGGGUCACUGGUUCAAGCCCAGUUGGGCCCACCC